rnacentral:lncRNA from 1 species
UCUCGGGAAUUUAAUUAAAUUAAACCAAAAGAUAAUCAAAUGUUAGUCAAGUACAACAGAAUAAAUAAGAGCAAGGAAAAGAGUAUUGAACUGGGGCCUUUGGCCCAAAUUCCCCAAAUUUGUUGAACCUGUCCUAUUCUAAAAAUUUCUGACAUGAUUUUGGGCCUAUUCGAUCAAAAUUCUGCUGCCGAGCCAUUUUUUCGGACCUUUUUGGGUCCAUUGUCGCUCCCAAGCACCUGUGUAUACAACAAAGGUAUAUUAUUGUUUAUGGACCGUAUUUUGGGAUUUUUUACGGUAUAUCAGACUGUACACUCAAUGUAUACAUCCUAAUGCAGCUCCUCGAGCUCCUGUAUUAAUUUUUGGACCUGCAUAUUAAAAUCCUCCAUGUAUACUAGUGUAUAUUGCUGUAUACAGCAAGUGUACAACCCUUUCCUUGGGCUUUCCGGAAUAUGAAAACUUUAGUUCCAACCCCCUGCAUUUGUCUCAAGAUCCUAGAAUCGAUGGAAAAUAUAGAAUCGGGCUAGGGAGGCCCAAUCCACGGCAUGCGAAGAGGGGGAGCCUCCAAAGACUUGAGAGUAGGCAUGAUUCACAUACACAAGAUAAUCAUAUUAGCCAAUAAAAUAAGACAAGGAAUCAUAAAAAAAAGGACACAAACAAUUAAAUCACGUUGGCAAGCUUACUGGACUUAUACCGAAAGAAGAAACAUAACAAAUUUUACACUAUUACAGACUUGGAAUAAAGUAAGAAUAAGUUUAAAAUAAAUUAAACAACAUCUCUGCAAAUGACUUUUGCUUUCAACAAAUUAAGGGAAAAUGUAACUUAAUGUGUUCCACUAAUUUUAUUUAUUUAUUAAGCAUACAAAGGAACUUGAAACUCAAAUGCUAUCUACUAAUGUGAAAUAAAAACACUUAAAUUUUGGGAAUAAACCGGAGGACUCAAGUCUUAACGAACAAGGGAUAUUUCACAAAUCGUGCAAUGAAAUAUGAUUCGGAGUAAAAUUAAUCUUCAUGAAAUCAAGCGGAUCUGGACAGCAGUAAAUAAAAGACAGAAUACUCAGGUUUUCAGCUACAGCUACAUACAAACUAAGGAGAAAAACAAACGAGAUGAGGAGGAAGAGGCGUGGUUUAUUUUUCUUUAUUAUUAUUUUUUGACAACAUAUUUUAGCGGUUAAUGGACGGACUUCUCAAUUUUACUUUAGUUUAAGAAGACAACAAACCAAAGCAAACCUACUACUCAAACAUGACACCCAUUUUUCAAGUGAACUCGGAAUUGUUAGCACCAAGAAAUGACAUGUUAUAAAAAUCUAAUAACGACUUAAGAAAGAAACUGAAUCUUGCCCUUUAACUUAAUGAUCAAGAAGAUGCAUUACAUCCCUAAUCACUUAGUUCAUUGGGCAAUCUCACAAUGCAGGAAACAGAGAUGUCGGCUCACAUGGAAUCAAAACAAAGUAAAUAGAAUCCCAAUAAUACACCCCCAAAUAUGCAAGCAGACGAGAACUCAUUUUUUUAAUCCGUCAGAAUUCAUUAGUCAAGAUUUAACUCAAAUCACUUAACGAAAAGACACAAGAUGUUGAGCAGGGGAUUUGUACAUAUACAGAAGCAAGGUUUCGAACCCAUUGCGAUUUAAGCAAUAAAAAAAUAAAGGAAAAGGUAUAGUUUGAAGGGUAUGUGAAAACUAAAUUGAUAUUCAAGUAAGACAAUCCGAGCAAACGACUACGAACUCUUCGAAAUUUAUGAUUCUACAACUUAUGCGGUCGAAAUCAAACAAUCAGCACAUUGAGAGACAAAUGACGAUGAGUAGGAAUAGAUGUUACCUUUAAGAGUGCAGCAGAACUGGGGACGGUGACGAGCAGGGGGGACUUCACCACUAAGCAAUUCCGAACGCGAACAGUGGUUAAGAAAUCUAGGUAGGAAUAUCAAACCCAAACACUCAAAGCUAAUAUCUCCUUUCUUUUCCUUGAGUAGUUAGUAGGUAUUCUAGCUAUUUCCUCUUAAGCUAUUCUAUGUAUUUUUAACUCUAAAAUUUCAAAACCAAAGUUCCCCCCUUUACAAAUGAAUAAUCCAAGAAUAUAUAGAAGAAAUUAGAGUUCAGAAUAAUUGGGAAAAAGGACAAAAUCGGGCAAACCAAGGCCCAAUUCCAAAUUCAAAAUGCCAAAAUUCUUUCACAAAUCAGGGAAGACAUCCUUUUUCUGAAGAUUCAACCUCAUUCCGGAAAAGGAAAGGGUUGCUCGACGCUCCGAAUUGAUUCCAUCGUCCUCUCUAUGCCACGUGGCUUAAUCUCACGCUAG